AUGCAGUCGAACGCGUCUCCGUUGAUGAUUUUAGGUGCUUGCACUUGAAAGAUUUAACAUUGAGACGAGUGGCGAACUGGUGAGUAACACGUGGGUAACCUGCCCUUGAAGUAGGGGAUAACACUUGGAAACAGGUGCUAAUACCGUAUAACAACCAAAACCACCUGGUUUUGGUUUAAAAGACGGCUUCGGCUGUCACUUUAGGAUGGACCCGCGGCGUAUUAGCUUGUUGGUAAGGUAACGGCCUACCAAGGCGAUGAUACGUAGCCGACCUGAGAGGGUAAUCGGCCACAUUGGGACUGAGACACGGCCCAAACUCCUACGGGAGGCAGCAGUAGGGAAUCUUCCACAAUGGACGAAAGUCUGAUGGAGCAACGCCGCGUGAGUGAUGAAGGGUUUCGGCUCGUAAAACUCUGUUGUUGGAGAAGAACAGGUGUCAGAGUAACUGUUGACAUCUUGACGGUAUCCAACCAGAAAGCCACGGCUAACUACGUGCCAGCAGCCGCGGUAAUACGUAGGUGGCAAGCGUUGUCCGGAUUUAUUGGGCGUAAAGCGAGCGCAGGCGGUUUUUUAGGUCUGAUGUGAAAGCCUUCGGCUUAACCGGAGAAGUGCAUCGGAAACCGGGAGACUUGAGUGCAGAAGAGGACAGUGGAACUCCAUGUGUAGCGGUGAAAUGCGUAGAUAUAUGGAAGAACACCAGUGGCGAAGGCGGCUGUCUGGUCUGUAACUGACGCUGAGGCUCGAAAGCAUGGGUAGCGAACAGGAUUAGAUACCCUGGUAGUCCAUGCCGUAAACGAUGAGUGCUAAGUGUUGGAGGGUUUCCGCCCUUCAGUGCUGCAGCUAACGCAUUAAGCACUCCGCCUGGGGAGUACGACCGCAAGGUUGAAACUCAAAGGAAUUGACGGGGGCCCGCACAAGCGGUGGAGCAUGUGGUUUAAUUCGAUGCUACCCGAAGAACCUUACCAGGUCUUGACAUCUUCUGCCAACCUAAGAAAUUAGGCGUUCCCUUCGGGGACAAAAUGACAGGUGGUGCAUGGUUGUCCUCACCUCCUGUCCU
rnacentral:rRNA from 2 species